UUGUAUGAGCCCCGCGGCCUAUCAGCUAGUUGGUGAGGUAACGGCUCACCAAGGCGACGACGGGUAGCCGGCCUGAGAGGGCGACCGGCCACACUGGGACUGAGACACGGCCCAGACUCCUACGGGAGGCAGCAGUGGGGAAUAUUGCACAAUGGGCGAAAGCCUGAUGCAGCGACGCCGCGUGAGGGAUGACGGCCUUCGGGUUGUAAACCUCUUUCAGCAGGGAAGAAGCGACGAGAGAGAUCUAUGCCU
rnacentral:rRNA from 1 species